AACCGAGAACUCCUACGGGAGGCAGCAGUGGGGAAUAUUGGACAAUGGGCGAAAGCCUGAUCCAGCCAUGCCGCGUGAGUGAUGAAGGCCCUAGGGUUGUAAAGCUCUUUUACCUGGGAAGAUAAUGACGGUACCAGGAGAAUAAGCCCCGGCUAACUUCGUGCCAGCAGCCGCGGUAAUACGAAGGGGGCUAGCGUUGUUCGGAAUCACUGGGCGUAAAGAGCACGUAGGCGGAUCUUUAAGUCAGGGGUGAAAUCCCGAGGCUCAACCUCGGAACUGCCUUUGAUACUGGGGAUCUCGAGUCCGGGAGAGGUGAGUGGAACUGCGAGUGUAGAGGUGAAAUUCGUAGAUAUUCGCAAGAACACCAGUGGCGAAGGCGGCUCACUGGCCCGGAACUGACGCUGAGGUGCGAAAGCGUGGGGAGCAAACAGGAUUAGAAACCCUUGUAGUCCGACUGAGA
rnacentral:rRNA from 1 species